rnacentral:lncRNA from 1 species
GCUCCUCCACCUCAAACCGAUUGGUGGGGGAGUGGAGGGUCUGGAAUGUUAUUUCCUUCUCAAACUUCAAAAGUUGGUUCCUUUUGGAGGAAAAAAAAAAAAGAAUCCUCCCAACACCCCAAACACUCAAAGGAGCCAAUGGGAACAGUGAGAGGACUCCAUCCAAGCAGGAUCCGCAGGGUUAGAGAAGCAACCAGAACAAUGAAAAAGAAGAAAAAUAUUUUAUCAGCAAAGAAGAUCAGAGUUAUGGCAGAAGCCCAGAGGAAAUCCUUUUUCUUUCCCAGGUCUAGGAUUUUAAGGGAAAUCAAAAUGGUGAUCCAUAUCCUUCUCCCCCACCCCUGCCUUCCCUUAGCUCUUAACCAUUGUUGUAAAUAUGAAAGCCAUAAAGUACUAGAAGUGGACUUUUUAGAAAAUGGGUACACUGUCUUUUGAAACAAUGAGUUCAUCAUCUCUGUUGUUCAAUAGUGUCUGACUCUUUCUGACCUCUUUUGGGCUUUUCUUGAUAAAAAUACUGGAAUGGUUUGCCAUUUCCUUCUCCAGUUCAUUAUACAUAUGAGGAAACUGAGGCAACCAGGGUUAUGAGAUUUCAGAAACCGGAUUUGAACUUAGGAAAAUGAAUCUUCUCGACUCCAGGGCAACACUCUAUCCACAGCGCCACCUAGUUGCCAUCAUCAUCUUCAUCAUCACUAAAGGUCUUCAAGUAAUGGCUACAAAGCUCUUUGUUGGGGCACUGUGGAGGGGUUUGUAUUGGACUACAUGACCUCAGCUACUUUCCAUUUCUGAUAUUCCAUGAUUCUGUUAUUCUACUGCAGACAGAGAAAGCAACAUGUGCAAAGUCAGGGAGAUGGGAAAGUGAAAGGAGCUAAGAGAACAGAACCCAGUUCAGAAUGGCUAGUUUAUAGAGUUCUGAAGGUGAAAUAGCAAAAUGAGCCAAGAAAGACAUUUUGGAGCCAGAUUAUAGGGGAACCAAGUUAAAGUAUUUACAUUUUAAUCAGUAAGCUAUAUGGAGCUAUUGAAGGUUUGGAGAUAGAAUGUUUUGAGAACUGUACUUUUAAGAAAAUGAAUCUGGCUGUGUUUGUGCAGUAUGGGUGGGGGAGAGGCAGAGACAGACAACAAAAAAAGGGGGUGACCAUAUUAGGAGGCUAUUGGAAACAUAGAAGCCAGAGAUGGUAAAGGUGAUGGCUAGAAUAGAGGACCUGUUUAAGAGAUAUUGUGAAAGUGAAUUCCAGGAGACUUAAAAUGUCUGAGUAUGAGGAAGAAGAAAAAAUAAUUGAAAUUAUGAGCCUGAAUGAUUUGGAGAAUAGUGCUGGUAGACCAUUUUUCAAGGCAUUGGUAGAGAAAUGGAAAUUCGGAGUAGGUGUAGAUUUAGAGGUAAAGGUGAAUUCUAGUGCCAUGCACAAUGACUUGCACAUAGUAAAUAAAUCAUUGUUAAAUAAAUAUCA